rnacentral:rRNA from 1 species
GACGAACGCUGGCGGCGUGCCUAAUACAUGCCAGUUGAGCGAUGAAGCUUGGUGCUUGCACCAAUUUGAAGAGCAGCGAACGGGUGAGUAACGCGUGGGGAAUCUGCCUUUGAGCGGGGGACAACAUUUGGAAACGAAUGCUAAUACCGCAUAACAACUUUAAACAUAAGUUUUAAGUUUGAAAGAUGCAAUUGCAUCACUCAAAGAUGAUCCCGCGUUGUAUUAGCUAGUUGGUGAGGUAAAGGCUCACCAAGGCGAUGAUACAUAGCCGACCUGAGAGGGUGAUCGGCCACAUUGGGACUGAGACACGGCCCAAACUCCUACGGGAGGCAGCAGUGGGGAAUCUUCGGCAAUGGACGAAAGUCUGACCGAGCAACGCCGCGUGAGUGAAGAAGGUUUUCGGAUCGUAAAACUCUGUUGGUAGAGAAGAACGUUGGUGAGAGUGGAAAGCUCAUCAAGUGACGGUAACUACCCAGAAAGGGACGGCUAACUACGUG